GAGUACACGUAAGCAACCUACCCUAAAGACGAGGAUAACCAUUGGAAACAGUGGCUAAGACUGGAUAGGAAGAUAAAAGGCAUCUUUUAUCUUUUAAAAGACCUAGUAAUAGGUAUGCUUUAGGAGGGGCUUGCGCCAUAUUAGUUAGUUGGUAGGGUAAUGGCCUACCAAGACGAUGAUGUGUAGCUGGACUGAGAGGUUGAACAGCCACAUUGGGACUGAGACACGGCCCAAACUCCUACGGGAGGCAGCAGUAGGGAAUUUUCGGCAAUGGAGGAAACUCUGACCGAGCAACGCCGCGUGAAUGACGAAGUACUUCGGUAUGUAAAGUUCUUUUAUCAAGGAAGAAAAGCAAAUGGCGAACCAUUUGUUUGCCGGUACUUGAUGAAUAAGCCCCGGCUAAUUAUGUGCCAGCAGCCGCGGUAAGACAUAAGGGGCAAGUGUUAUCCGGAAUUAUUGGGCGUAAAGGGUGCGUAGGCGGUCUAGUAAGUCAGUGGUGUAAUGGCAACGCUUAACGUUGUCCGGCUAUUGAAACUGCUAAACUUGAGUUAGAUAGAGGCGAGUGGAAUUCCAUGUGUAGCGGUAAAAUGCGUAAAUAUAUGGAGGAACACCAGAGGCGUAGGCGGCUCGCUGGGUCUUAACUGACGCUGAGGCACGAAAGCGUGGGGAGCAAACAGGAUUAGAUACCCUGGUAGUCCACGCCGUAAACGAUGAGUACUAAGUGUCGGGUUAAACCGGUACUGAAGUUAACACAUUAAGUACUCCGCCUGAGUAGUACGUACGCAAGUAUGAAACUUAAAGGAAUUGACGGGACUCCGCACAAGCGGUGGAUCAUGUUGUUUAAUUCGAAGAUACCCGAAAAACCUUACCAGGUCUUGACAUGUUUUUGCAAAAUGAUAGUAAUAUCGUGGAGGUUACCAGAAACACAGGUGGUGCAUGGUUGUCGUCAGCUCGUGUCGUGAGAUGUUAGGUUAAGUCCUAAAACGAGCGAAACCCUUAUCGUUAGUUGCCAGCACGUUAUGGUGGGGACUUUAACGAGACUGCCAAUGAUAAAUUGGAGGAAGGUGAGGAUCACGUCAAAUCAGCAUGCCCCUUAUGACCUGGGCUACAAACGUGAUACAAUGGCUGUUACAAAGGGUAGCUGAAACGCAAGUUCUUGGCCAAUCCCCAAAAACAGUCCCAGUCCGGAUUGAAGUCUGCAACUCGACUUCAUGAAGUUGGAAUCGCUAGUAAUCGCGAAUCAGCAUGUCGCGGUGAAUACGUUCUCGGGGUUUGUACACACCGCCCGUCAAACCACGAAAGUUG
rnacentral:rRNA from 1 species